rnacentral:rRNA from 1 species
CGGACGGGUGAGUAACGCGUGGGCAACCUGCCUCAUACAGGGGGAUAACAGUUAGAAAUGACUGCUAAUACCGCAUAAGCGCACAGGACCGCAUGGUGUAGUGUGAAAAACUCCGGUGGUAUGAGAUGGACCCGCGUCUGAUUAGGUAGUUGGUGGGGUAAAGGCCUACCAAGCCGACGAUCAGUAGCCGACCUGAGAGGGUGACCGGCCACAUUGGGACUGAGACACGGCCCAA